UACGUAGGAUGCGAGCGUUGUCCGGAAUUAUUGGGCGUAAAGAGCUUGUAGGCGGUUUGUCGCGUCUGCUGUGAAAAUCCGAGGCUCAACCUCGGACUUGCAGUGGGUACGGGCAGACUAGAGUGUGGUAGGGGAGACUGGAAUUCCUGGUGUAGCGGUGAAAUGCGCAGAUAUCAGGAGGAACACCGAUGGCGAAGGCAGGUCUCUGGGCCACUACUGACGCUGAGAAGCGAAAGCAUGGGGAGCGAACAGG
rnacentral:rRNA from 1 species